rnacentral:lncRNA from 1 species
CUGGGGCAUUUUCUUCUAGCUGCUGUUGAAACUAUAGAGGAUUAAAGAUUUCCCAAAGUUCAGGCUGGAUAAUCCCUUCUACAGGAUUAACUCACUGAAUAGCUUUCCAGGUAUAUUUGUUUCAGGAAAGAAACAACAGAUUUCAAAUCCCUAAAUCUAGUUCUCGUCAAGAUGGCGCUGUGAGCAGACGUUGAACUCACCUCCUCCCACGAACACAACCAGGUUACAACAAUUUUGGGAAGAAUCACCCUGGAUUGAAAACUGAAAACUGGAUUAAAAGAACCCCCACGACAAAGGACAGUCGUGACGAAAGCAGAAGAGGCAGAAACUCCCGCUGGAGAGGAAAAAAAGCCACCUUUGGGAGCAGCGGAGCUUCUCAGCUGGCCAGGCGGGAGCCAACAUAAGAAUGACAAGAUUCUGUCAGAGCUGGAACGUUUUUUAAGGUGAUCUUCACUCUCAGAUUCUUCUGUAGCAACCCCCGGUUUCCUGUUGGAUUUCUCUGUCUUAUGUGGAAGGAGGAUGAGAAGAGGCCAUCUAAGAAAUCUACCUACCCCUUCUGCAUUCUGCCGUGUCACUCACAAUCCUAUAUCCCUAUGGAAACGCUUAACUCUUCUAUGUUCCACAAUCAUUGCUUUCAUCCUCUACCCUUUUCAUGACAUUUUCUUUGGUGUUCUUUCCAUUUUACAGAAGAUGAAAAGAAUUGUUAAAUGCCGUGAUCCUUUUAAAGAUGUUCUGGGAUACACAAGAAGGAUUUAAGAUAUUUCAAAACAGGAACACUCCUUUAACUUCUAAGAGAUGGAGCAGAUAGAGAGGACAGGACAUCCUUCUCAGCAGUCACCGGAAUUUACCUAUGGGAAGAAAAUCAGGAGUAGAGUUUCCCAGAAGACCUAGGCUAUUUUGUGAUUAAACUUCAAUUGGCUAACUGUUUAUUCGUUACAAAGAGUCAUGUCCCCAUUUUGAUAGAGGGUAGCCAUAAGAAUUGUAGAAUAAACCCAACACUCCUCUUAGGCAGCAGUUGAAGGAAAAAAAAUAAAUUAGAGAACCAGGCCAGUUGUCCUAAAUCUUAAGUGUAACAAGUAUAGACAGAAACAAAGAGCACAUUUUUAUCAGUUUAGCACUCAAUGUGACAUUAAUUAAUAACUAACACUCAUGUAUAUUAGUUUAGUUGGGUUUUUGUGUGUGUAUGUGUGGUG